GCUCUCAAGCUAGGGGCUUGUGUGGACGUGCUUGGUGGGCUGAUUCACGUUGGGAUAGGGGAAAGUGCUAAAGACGCUUGCUGUCCUGUGCUUCAAGGACUGCUGGACUUGGACGCCGCCAUUUGCCUCUGCACCACCAUCAGGCUUAAGCUCCUUAACAUCAACAUUAUCAUACCCCUUGCUCUUCAGGUCCUCAUCGACUGUGGGAAGACACCGCCCGAUGGAUUCAAGUGUCCUUCAUAAGCUCUCUGAGUCACUCUGACGUCGUUCGAGGUUUUCAAAUAUUGAUUAAUAAUAGAGUUUCAGUAAUAUUUGGCAUGUAAUAAUAGCGUGUGUUUGUGCUUAUGAAAGCUUUGGAAGUAAAACUACUUCAUGAGAUCGAUAUACUGUGGCAAAACCGCAAAAGUGUUCAUGUUGAUUUGUUAUAAUCAGAAUAUGUUGUUCUAUUUUGGGACUGCGUGUUAAUAAUUGAGGUUAGAGAAGAACUGUAUGAUUUGCGUAUAUGUCGUCACUGUCCUAAUGGACCCUCAGCUCUCUCAAAACCCUAGAGCUUCACGUGAGUGUACUACUUUCUUUGAGUGUUAUUUUGACUGCAUUCGUUUGUAAAGUUAUCGAUAUCCAUUGGGAAUAAAAUAUCAACAUCACAGCACCAUGUACCUACGUACGUAUGUCUACCUUUCAUUGUGAAUUUCGUUCGUACAGUAUUGUUUCAUUACGU
rnacentral:lncRNA from 1 species